rnacentral:rRNA from 1 species
AGUGAACGCUGGCGGUAGGCCUAACACGUGCAAGUCGAACGGCAGCACAGUAAGAGCUUGCUCUUACGGGUGGCGAGUGGCGGACGGGUGAGGAAUACAUCGGAAUCUACUUUUUCGUGGGGGAUAACGUAGGGAAACUUACGCUAAUACCGCAUACGACCUACGGGUGAAAGCAGGGGAUCUUCGGACCUUGCGCGAUUGAAUGAGCCGAUGUCGGAUUAGCUAGUUGGCGGGGUAAAGGCCCACCAAGGCGACGAUCCGUAGCUGGUCUGAGAGGAUGAUCAGCCACACUGGAACUGAGACACGGUCCAGACUCCUGCGGGAGGCAGCAGUGGGGAAUAUUGGACAAUGGGCGCAAGCCUGAUCCAGCCAUACCGCGUGGGUGAAGAAGGCCUUCGGGUUGUAAAGCCCUUUUGUUGGGAAAGAAAAGCAGCAGGUUAAUACCCCGCUGUUCUGACGGUACCCAAAGAAUAAGCACCGGCUAACUUCGUG